GAUCCUGGCUCAGGAUGAACGCUAGCUACAGGCUUAACACAUGCAAGUCGAGGGGAAACGACAGAGGAAGCUUGCUUUCUUUGGGCGUCGACCGGCGCACGGGUGAGUAACGCGUAUCCAACCUUCCCGCAAGUAAGGGAUAACCCGUAGAAAUGCGGCCUAAUACCUUAUGUUUUCCUUAGAGGGCAUCUGAUGAGGAACAAAGAUCCGUCGCUUGCGGAUGGGGAUGCGUCUGAUUAGUUAGUCGGCGGGGUAACGG
rnacentral:rRNA from 1 species